GAUGAACGCUGGCGGCGUGCCUAAUACAUGCAAGUCGAGCGAACAGAUGAGGAGCUUGCUCCUCUGACGUUAGCGGCGGACGGGUGAGUAACACGUGGAUAACCUACCUAUAUGACUGGGAUAACUUCGGGAAACCGGAGAUAAUACCGGAUAAUAUAUUGAACCGCAUGGUUCAAUAGUGAAAGACGGUUUUGCUGUCUCUUAUAGAUGGAUCCGCGCCGCAUUAGCUAGUUGGUAAGGUAACGGCUUACCAAGGCAACGAUGCGUAGCCGACCUGAGAGGGUGAUCGGCCACACUGGAACUGAGACACGGUCCAGACUCCUACGGGAGGCAGCAGUAGGGAAUCUUCCGCAAUGGGCGAAAGCCUGACGGAGCAACGCCGCGUGAGUGAUGAAGGUCUUCGGAUCGUAAAACUCUGUUAUUAGGGAAGAACAAAUGUGUAAGUAACUAUGCACGUCUUGACGGUACCUAAUCAGAAAGCCACGGCUAACUACGUG
rnacentral:rRNA from 1 species